rnacentral:rRNA from 1 species
UACGGAGGGUGCAAGCGUUAUCCGGAUUUACUGGGUUUAAAGGGUGCGUAGGUGGGUUGGUAAGUCAGUGGUGAAAUCUUCGAGCUUAACUCGGAAACUGCCAUUGAUACUAUCAAUCUUGAAUUAUCUGGAGGUAAGCGGAAUAUGUCAUGUAGCGGUGAAAUGCUUAGAUAUGACAUAGAACACCCAUUGCGAAAGGCAGCUUACUACGGAUAUAUUGACACUGAGGCACGAAAGCGUGGGGGAUCAAACAGG